AGUGAACGCUGGCGGUAGGCCUAACACAUGCAAGUCGAACGGCAGCACAGUAGGAGCUUGCUCUUACGGGUGGCGAGUGGCGGACGGGUGAGGAAUACAUCGGAAUCUACUUUUUCGUGGGGGAUAACGUAGGGAAACUUACGCUAAUACCGCAUACGACCUACGGGUGAAAGCAGGGGAUCUUCGGACCUUGCGCGAUUGAAUGAGCCGAUGUCGGAUUAGCUAGUUGGCGGGGUAAAGGCCCACCAAGGCGACGAUCCGUAGCUGGUCUGAGAGGAUGAUCAGCCACACUGGAACUGAGACACGGUCCAGACUCCUACGGGAGGCAGCAGUGGGGAAUAUUGGACAAUGGGCGCAAGCCUGAUCCAGCCAUACCGCGUGGGUGAAGAAGGCCUUCGGGUUGUAAAGCCCUUUUGUUGGGAAAGAAAAGCAGCAGGUUAAUACCCCGCUGUUCGGACGGUACCCAAAGAAUAAGCACCGGCUAACUUCGU
rnacentral:rRNA from 1 species